UACGUAGGGUGCGAGCGUUGCCCGGAUUUAUUGGGCGUAAAGGGCGCGCAGGCGGCCACGCACGUCCGUUGUGAAAUCGCCCGGCUCAACUGGGCGGGGUCGGCGGAUACGGCGUGGCUGGAGCAAGCUAGGGGGUAGUGGAAUUCCCGGUGUAGUGGUGGAAUGCGUAGAUAUCGGGAGGAACACCAGUGGCGAAGGCGGCUACCUGGGGGCUUUGCUGACGCUGAGGCGCGAAAGCGUGGGGAGCGAUCCGG
rnacentral:rRNA from 1 species